rnacentral:rRNA from 1 species
AUUGAACGCUGGCGGCAUGCCUUACACAUGCAAGUCGAACGGCAGCACGGGAGAAAUCCUGGUGGCGAGUGGCGAACGGGUGAGUAAUAUAUCGGAACGUGCACAGUCGUGGGGGAUAACGCAGCGAAAGCUGUGCUAAUACCGCAUCCGAUCUAUGGAUGAAAGCGGGGGACCGAAAGGCCUCGCGCGAUUGGAGCGGCCGAUAUCAGAUUAGGUAGUUGGUGGGGUAAAGGCUCACCAAGCCGACGAUCUGUAGCUGGUCUGAGAGGACGACCAGCCACACUGGGACUGAGACACGGCCCAGACUCCUACGGGAGGCAGCAGUGGGGAAUGUUGGACAAUGGGCGCAAGCCUGAUCCAGCAAUGCCGCGUGCAGGAAGAAGGCCUUCGGGUUGUAAACUGCUUUUGUACGGAACGAAAAGGCUCUGGUUAAUACCUGGGGCUCAUGACGGUACCGUAAGAAUAAGCACCGGCUAACUACGUGCCAGCAGCCGCGGUAACAC